rnacentral:rRNA from 1 species
UGGGGAAUCUUGCACAAUGGGGGAAACCCUGAUGCAGCGACGCCGCGUGAGCGAUGAAGGUUUUCGAAUCGUAAAGCUCUGUCCUAUGGGAAGAUAAUGACGGUACCAUAGGAGGAAGCCCCGGCUAACUACGUGCCAGCAGCCGCGGUAAUACGUAGGGGGCGAGCGUUGUCCGGAAUUACUGGGCGUAAAGGGUUCGCAGGCGGCAUGACAAGUCCGAUGUAAAAGGCGAAAGCUCAACUUUCGUAAGCAUCGGGAACUGUCAAGCUUGAGUGAAGGAGGGGCAAGUGGAAUUCCUUGUGUAGCGGUGGAAUGCGUAGAUAUUAGGAGGGAUACCGGUGGCGAAGGCGACUUGCUGGACUUCAACUGACGCUGAGGAACGAAAGCGUGGGUAGCAAACAGG